rfam:Picea glauca, whole genome shotgun sequence.
UGCCUAAAACAUAGCGUUAUUGCACAAAAUCCCAUUAAAAUUUCAUAGAUAAGCAUGCUUAGGCUAGAUUAGUACUGGAAUGGGUGACCGCCUAGGAAGUCCUAGUAUUUUACACGC